UGUUGUGUUCAAAGCUCCAUCCGCUUAAAUUAAACUCUAGUUCGUUUGCCCAGAAAGUCAGGUUCAUUUGGGGAG